UCGGUCAAAUCACGCUGAAAACACCGGUUCUCGUUCGAUCACCGAAGUUAAGCAUCGUAGAGCCAGGUCAGUACUUAGAUGGGGACCGCUUGGGAACACCUGGUACUGUAAG
rnacentral:rRNA from 1 species